rnacentral:rRNA from 1 species
GACGAACGCUGGCGGCGUGGAUUAGGCAUGCAAGUCGAACGGUAGGAUCCUUUCGGGGAUCUGAGAGUGGCGAACGGGUGAGUAACACGUAGGUGAUCUACCCUCAAGACGGGGACAACCCAGGGAAACUUGGGCUAAUACCGGAUGUGAGCAACUUUUAGUUGUUUGAAAGGUGGCGUAAGCUGUCGCUUGGGGAUGAGCCUGCGUCCUAUUAGUUAGUUGGUGAGGUAACGGCUCACCUAGGCAAUGAUAGGUAGGCGGCCUUAACGGGUGGUCGCCCACACUGGGAUUGAGAUACGGCCCAGACUCCUACGGGAGGCAGCAGUCGAGAAUAGUCUACAAUGGUCGGAAGACUGAUAGUGCGACGCCGCGUGAACGAUGAAUCCCUUCGGGGUGUAAAGUUCUUUUAUAUGUGAGCAGUGCUUCUUAUAUUAACAGUAUGGGGAGAGAGAUAUUAGCAUAUGAAUAAGCAACGGCUAACUCCGUGCCAGCAGCCGCGGUAAAACGU